ACUACAUGUGGGUUAGCAAGAGCCCAACGUGAAUGUUGUGAAUUUAGGAUGUAGAGCGAUCGAGGGAUUUCCCUACUGUGAGAAGCAUCGCCAGCAUCGUUUAGGGGGCGAAUAUACCAGAUGUGCAUUUAGAGUCUAUCAUUUGCUCUUUUUCUAUUCAAGAUUUGGAUGUAUGUGUCUCUAUCGUGUGUUUAUAGCGAAAACCUGCAUUUGUGAGGUACCUGUUGUUUGUGCUGAUUGGCGAUCGGAGUUAUGAAAACGCAAGUGGAAAAUCGUCACCAUGGCUCAUUGUAAGCAAAGCCAGUCCUCGGGGGGUCACCCCCAGAAAACCCCCAGUUACAGUGUGGAGGAAACAAUUAGGAUGACUUGCUCCUGCAUGAUGACAUUGUGCCAUCUUUCUGCAUGACUGCAUGAUGUUUGGCAAUCACCACAAACUCUUCUGUUUCAUCCACUGUUAUCUCAUUAACACCUGUGUCUCCUGUCCUGCUGUCACUAGUUAUAUCUCUAGAUGCCACGCCAUUUGUGACCAACUCGUGUUAUUCUGGGACAAGCCGAAUAGCGACUCGUGUCCCUCUCGGGGCCAUUUUUGAAACUGGGUUACGUCUAAGUCCAAACGGGCAUAGCUAAACGAAUUGUCAACUUGUUGCGUAAUGAUUCACGUAUAUUUCCCUUAUAUAUCAUAUAUAUUUGAUGCUAUUAAACAUAUCAGGACUUACAGUAUUAUACAGUAUUGAACUCAGUAUGACUGUAUCUUGGGUAUAUUUUUAAAAGCAAGGCAUAUGUAAAGUCAAACAUUAUUCCUGAGGGAUUCUUUGACGGAAGUACUUGAAGUCAUACGCUCAUUCUGACUGGUUUGUCGUAUUUUCGCACAUAAGAUUCAUUGAUAGGGGGACGAGUCUUCCUGCAGGUCACGGAAAGGGGCGAGUGGUGACGAAUGGAUGCCACGUCUGACAACUGUUACAUUUUUUACUAUAUUUCAUCGAUAAAAUGCCAGGAUUCAAAUAAACGUUGGGUUGUUUUUAUGAAUGGAAGUCUCCCUUUAUUAUCUUUGCAAUUAAUUAACACGGAUAAAGUUUGUUUGUUCUUGAAGCCUGCACUUGGCAAUAUUCCAGCGAAAUGUAGGUCCGUAAAUGAUCGAGUCCGAACCAGACGGUCUAGUGAUUGAUAUCAUGAGCAUCAAUCUACGCAAUUGGAAUACAGUGACAUACAUCAACCAAGUCAGUGAGCCUGACCAGUCGAUCCCGUUCUGUGCCUCUUACAACAAGCAUGGGUUGCUGAAGACCUAUUCAGACCUGUAUCUUCAUGGGUCAACAGGGGUAAAGUGUGUCUGAAAGAUAUAUAUAUGCCUGGGCGUUUAAUUGAGGAAAUACGGUAUCAUAAUGGACAAGUUAGGCAAUGAUGAAUUCAUUGAUGGCGUUAGUUACCCUUACAACCUGACAAGAAAGACGAACAAAAUAGGAUAAGGCGAGGCACUUUAUAUUUUUUGGAUUACGGACCCGCCGACUAGAAAAUGUAAAAAUAAAUACAUCAGAUUUCCAUUUUUUUUUCCUGCCGAUAGCCGUGUAGUUAGUUAUUUUAUUUGUUAUCCUCACCUUUUAGAAAAAACAUAUGAAUUUACCCUUGUAAACAAGUAAAGAGAUGCAUAAUUGAUCUUUGUUGAUCUUGAAGCCGAACAUGAAUAGCCUCCCUUGACAAUUGUCCGUGUUGUAAGUGGUAGAAAUUUUAUUGUUACAAGGGGCUUUAUCGUCACAAAUGGCGGUCUUUUGAGCACAGAAUAUGUUCAUAAAGUAUG